UCCGCAAGCCGACACUCUAUCUACAGAGCCAAACUGGGUUAGGGCUAAAAUUAAUGCCAGCAGUGAACCUGGAUAAAGUCUGUGGAGUUACAUCACCUCUGGCACUUGUUUCGAGGCAGCAUGCUGAAGGGGUGGCCUUGAGGCCUCAUUGGGGGAUGGCAGCAACAAACCCUUUAACCUUUGGAACAUCUGAUACUUCUUGGCCGAGAGAAUUCUUCAGAAUGGCAGAGCCAUGGAGAUCUAUCCGGGACUUUCUACAGCACAGAAGCCAGGCUCAGCACCUGCCUUGUCUAGAGGAAGGGAGAG